rnacentral:rRNA from 1 species
UUGAUUACGUCCCUGCCCUUUGUACACACCGCCCGUCGCUGCCCGGGACUGAGCCAUUUCGAGAAACUUGGGGACUGCAGAUCCGGUGGCUUCGGCCUCCGCUUCGGUGGAAACCAAUUUAAUCGCAGUGGCUUGAACCGGGCAAAAGUCGUUACAAGGUAGCUGUAGGUGAACCUGCUGCUGGAUCAUUACACGUACCGUGAUGGU